UACGUAGGGGGGCAAGCGUUGUCCGGAUUUAUUGGGCGUAAAGAGCGUGUAGGCGGCCUUACAGGUCAGCUGUGAAAACUCGAGGCUCAACCUCGAGACGUCGGUUGAAACCGUAUGGCUAGAGUCCGGAAGAGGAGAGUGGAAUUCCCGGUGUAGCGGUGAAAUGCGCAGAUAUCAGGAAGAACACCCGUGGCGAAGGCGGUUCUCUGGGACGGUACUGACGCUGAGACGCGAAAGCGUGGGGAGCAAACAGG
rnacentral:rRNA from 1 species